rnacentral:tRNA from 1 species
GCAUGGAUGGCAUAGUGGUUUGAGUGUAAACUGUGACUCUGGAGACCAGGGUUUGAAUCCCAGCCUGGCCA